rnacentral:rRNA from 1 species
AGCAGUAGCCGCGGUAAUACGAAAGGGGCUAGCGUUGUUCGGAAUUACUGGGCGUAAAGCGCACGUAGGCGGAUACUUAAGUCAGGGGUGAAAUCCCGGGGCUCAACCCCGGAACUGCCUUUGAUACUGGGUAUCUCGAGUCCGGAAGAGGUGAGUGGAAUUCCGAGUGUAGAGGUGAAAUUCGUAGAUAUUCGGAGGAACACCAGUGGCGAAGGCGGCUCACUGGUCCGGUACUGACGCUGAGGUGCGAAAGCGUGGGGAGCAAACAGGAUUAGAUACCCGCGUAGUCCCUGUCUCUUAUAC